GGUCUUAUAGCUCAGUUAGGUUAGAGCACUUGACUCAUAAUCAAGAAGUCGCUGGUUCAAAUCCAGCUGAGACCA
rnacentral:tRNA from 2 species